rnacentral:rRNA from 1 species
UAACGGCGAGUGAAGCGGCAAAAGCUCAAAUUUGAAAUCUAGCACCUUCGGUGUUCGAGUUGUAAUUUGAAGAUGGUAACCUUGGGUUUGGCUCUUGUCUAUGUUCCUUGGAACAGGACGUCAUAGAGGGUGAGAAUCCCGUCUGAUGAGAUGCCCAUUCCUAUGUAAGGUGCUAUCGAAGAGUCGAGUUGUUUGGGAAUGCAGCUCUAAGUGGGUGGUAAAUUCCAUCUAAAGCUAAAUAUUGGCGAGAGACCGAUAGCGAACAAGUACAGUGAUGGAAAGAUGAAAAGAACUUUGAAAAGAGAGUGAAAAAGUACGUGAAAUUGUUGAAAGGGAAGGGCAUUAGAUCAGACUUGGUGUUUUACGAUUAUCUUCUCUUCUUGAGUUGUGCACUCGUAUUUCACUGGGCCAGCAUCGAUUCGGAUGGCAAGAUAAUGGCAGUUGAAUGUGGCUUCACUUCGGUGGAGUGUUAUAGCUUCUGCUGAUAUUGCCUGUCUGGAUCGAGGGCUGCGUCUUUUGACUAGGAUGCUGGCGUAAUGAUCUAAUGCCGCCCGU